UGAGUGCGAGCUGCUACGGCAGCGAAGUUGGUGAUGUCAUGCUUCCAAGAAAAGCCCUAUACCCGUUAAGGCAUCAUGGCCUGUACCCGAAACCGACACAGGUGGGGUGGUAGAGAAUACCGAGGGGCGCGAGGUAACUCUCUCUAAGGAACUCGGCAAAAUGGCCCCGUAACUUCGGAAGAAGGGGUGCCACCGCAAGGUGGUCGCAGUGAAGAGGCCCAGGCGACUGUUUACCAAAAACACAGGUCUCCGCUAAGUCGCAAGACGAUGUAUGGGGGCUGACGCCUGCCCAGUGCCGGAAGGUUAAGGAAGCUGGUCAGCGCAAGCGAAGCUAGCGACUGAAGCCCCGGUGAACGGCGGCCGUAACUAUAACGGUCCUAAGGUAGCGAAAUUCCUUGUCGGGUAAGUUCCGACCCGCACGAAAGGCGUAACGAUCUGGGCGCUGUCUCGGAGAGAGGCUCGGCGAAACAGAAUUGUCUGUGAAGAUGCGGACUACGUGCACCCGGACAGAAAGACCCUAUGAAGCUUUACUGUAGCUUGGUAUUGUGCCCGGGCUCGCAAUGCGCAGGAUAGGUGGGAGGCUUUGAUCAUCGGCUUGCGGGUCGAUGUGAGCCAACGGUGAGAUACCACUCUUUGCGAGCUAGGGUUCUAACGGCCACCCGUCAUCCGGGGGCCGGACAGUACCUGGUGGGCAGUUUGACUGGGGCGGUCGCCUCCUAAAAGGUAACGGAGGCGCGCAAAGGUUUGCUCAGGCUGGUUGGAAAUCAGCCGACGAGUGUAAAAGCAGAAGCAAGCUUGACUGUGAGACCAACAAGUCGAACUGGGAGGAAACUCGGCUUUAGUGAUCCGACGGUUCUGAGUGGAAGGGCCGUCGCUCAACGGAUAAAAGUUACUCUAGGGAUAACAGGCUGAUCUCCCCCAAGAGUUCACAUCGACGGGGAGGUUUGGCACCUCGAUGUCGGCUCAUCGCAACCUGGGGCUGAAGUCGGUCCCAAGGGUUGGGCUGUUCGCCCAUUAAAGCGGUACGCGAGCUGGGUUCAGAACGUCGUGAGACAGUUCGGUCCAUAUCCGGUGCACGCGCAGGAAUAUUGAGAGGAUUUCUCCCUAGUACGAGAGGACCGGGAGGAACGCACCUCUGGUGUACCAGUUAUCGUGCCAACGGUAAGCGCUGGGUAGCCAUGUGCGGAGUGGAUAACCGCUGAAAGCAUCUAAGUGGGAAGCCCACCUCAAGAUGAGUAUUCCCAUGGCGUAAGCCAGUAAGGUCACGGGAAGAACACCCGUUGAUAGGCUCUAUGUGGAAGCGCAGUAAUGCGUGAAGCAGAGGAGUACUAAUAGACCGAGGGCUUGACCC
rnacentral:rRNA from 1 species